GCUUUGAGUAGACCCUAAACAUCAUUUUAUACCUUCGAGAACCAAUUACUUAAUGUCUCUCCCGUCUUUUCCUUUCCCGACCCCCUCCCAGACGCCUUCAUUCCGGUACUGCGUGGACGGAAAGCCCCGGGUAGCCGACACUACGUCCCCGGCUACCGAGAGAGAAGGAGAGAGAGCGUAGAAAAGGAUUAUACCAAACGGUUUAAAUCCAACGGCUCCUGCUUGCUUAAUCUUUGAGCUAGACCCAGCAAGCCUAGAGAGUUGGGCUACGGAAAGACUAGUAUUUUCUUUUAAUUGGAUAUGAAGAAAGAACAAAUAUGUACGGGGGCAACCACGAUCUUUAUAAAGGAGCCUUGUCUCUCUUGUUCACUGGUGUAUCCGCUGCAUAUAGAACAGUGCCUGGCACAUAAUAGGUGCUGAUAUGAAAUCCAGAUUUGAAAUGAUCUUCAAAUGAUGAUGCCAAGACUCAGAAAGAUGCUUUCUUUUCAGGGAAGAAUCUCUAAAUGAAAAAUCAUGUGAUUCUCAGGCUCUAGGUGUACUGGCAAAAUUCUAACUUAGCCCACCCUUAAUCCAAGCAUAACUCUGACUUAAUUCAGCCUCCCUCCUUUUCCAAUUAAAUAACUUCCCCAAUUCUAGUACACCCUCUCAUUUACAAAGUCACUAGUCCACAAAGUGCUUGAAAAUGGAGGAAAAAACCCAGUGGUCACAAGUGAGAAAUCACAUUUAAAAAAUAAAAUUAUAUAUAAGAUAACAUCUUUUAAAUUUUUAACCUGAAACUGACCAGUUUUCUAAGAUGAAAAAUUGGUGCUUUAAUCUGUUUUGAAAAAUAAAAAGCAUAGAGAAAUAAAGUAGCUUGCUUUCUACCAACAAAAUCCUGAUCUUUAAAUGAAGAUCCUCUGGAUCCCAGAGAGAUGAUUUCCUGGCAAUAACCUCAAGAUGAAAUUUGCUGGUUGCCCAGGUUAGAUUACUGAACAAUAGUAUAAUUUAACCAACUCUUACUUAAUCUGAGUACAUGUCUCCCUCACUAGCUGGCCAGUCUGUUAUUACUAAGACAAUUAAAAACAAACAUAUUGAAAAAUGGUUAAAACUAAUUAACUAAAAUAUAGAAAAUAAAAGGAUAGAAAAAGACAUACCAGGCAAAUUCUAAACAACAACAAAGAACUUUAUGUAGCAAUAUUAAUUAUCAAAUGUGUUCUUUAAAUAGUGUAGCAUUAACAAGGACAUUAAUAUAGGCAAUAUAUUGCAUCACAAAAAUCCAGUAGGAAAUUAUUACAAUCAUGAACACUUAUGCAACUGAUUACAUCUUGAUCAUGGGAAUUAGUUUGCUUAGAUUCUAUUCUGGACUUUUGCAUCUAUGUUCAUAAGUAAGACUGACCUAUUAUAUUCCUUCUCAUGAUGUCUUUUUUGGAGACUUGUAUAUACAAUUUAUAUCAUAAAAUAUGUUGGGAGAUAUUCUUUCUUUUUCUGUUCUCCAGGAAAAUUUGUCUAAGAUUAGAUUUACUUCUUCCUUGAAUGUUUGAUAAAAAUGUGUUGGUGUAGCCAUUUGGGGUUUAGAGUUUUCUUUGUGAAAAGAGUUUUGAUUUCUGCUUCGGUUUCCUUGAUGGUUAUAGACAUACUCAUUAUUCUGUUUCUUCUUGUGUCAGUUUUGCUGUUUAUAUUUUUCUAAGAGUUUAUUUCAUCUUAACUUUAAAAUGCAUUGGCUUAAAGUUGUUUAUACUAUCUUCAUUUUCUUUUUUAUGUCUGCUGCAUCUAUAGCGGUGACCUCUUUGUCUUUCCUAAUGUUGGUUAUUUGUGCCUUCUAUUUUUGGUCUUUAGACUUCU
rnacentral:lncRNA from 1 species